CUUUAACAAUCUGGAACAAGCUGAAAAUUUGAAACAAUCAGUGACCGUAAUGGGUCAUUGAUGAGUCUCUCAACACACUCCGACCUGAAGACACCUUCGG
rfam:Xenorhabdus doucetiae str. FRM16 chromosome, complete genome.